rnacentral:rRNA from 1 species
AGAGUUUGAUCCUGGCUCAGGACGAACGCUGGCGGCGUGCUUAACACAUGCAAGUCGAACGGAAAGGCCCUGCUUGCAGGGUACUCGAGUGGCGAACGGGUGAGUAACACGUGGGUGAUCUGCCCUGCACUUCGGGAUAAGCCUGGGAAACUGGGUCUAAUACCGGAUAGGAGCCAUUUUUAGUGUGAUGGUUGGAAAGUUUUUUCGGUGUAGGAUGAGCUCGCGGCCUAUCAGCUUGUUGGUGGGGUAAUGGCCUACCAAGGCGGCGACGGGUAGCCGGCCUGAGAGGGUGGACGGCCACAUUGGGACUGAGAUACGGCCCAGACUCCUACGGGAGGCAGCAGUGGGGAAUAUUGCACAAUGGGCGCAAGCCUGAUGCAGCGACGCCGCGUGGGGGAUGACGGCCUUCGGGUUGUAAACUCUUUUUUCUAGGGACGAAGCUUUUGUGACGGUACCUAGAUAAGAGGGGGGGGGCUAACUACGUGCCAGCAGCCGCGGUAAUACGUAGGGUGCGAGCGUUGUCCGGAAUUACUGGGCGUAAAGGGCUCGUAGGUGGUUUGUCGCGUCGUCUGUGAAAUUCCGGGGCUUAACUCCGGGCGUGCAGGCGAUACGGGCAUAACUUGAGUACUGUAGGGGUAACUGGAAUUCCUGGUGUAGCGGUGAAAUGCGCAGAUAUCAGGAGGAACACCGAUGGCGAAGGCAGGUUACUGGGCAGUUACUGACGCUGAGGAGCGAAAGCAUGGGUAGCGAACAGGAUUAGAUACCCUGGUAGUCCAUGCCGUAAACGGUGGGCGCUAGGUGUGAGGUCUUUUUCACGACUUUCGUGCCGUAGCUAACGCAUUAAGCGCCCCGCCUGGGGAGUACGGCCGCAAGGCUAAAACUCAAAGGAAUUGACGG